rnacentral:rRNA from 1 species
CCCUUAGAUGUUCUGGGCUGCACGCGCGCUACACUGAUGUGUUCAUCGGGUUCGACCUUGCCCGGGAGGGUUGGGUAAUCCUUUCAAAACACAUCGUGAUGGGGAUAGAUUAUUGCAAUUAUUAAUCUUCAACGAGGAAUUCCUAGUAAGCGCGAGUCAUCAGCUCGUGCUGAUUACGUCCCUGCCCUUUGUACACACCGCCCGUCGCUCCUACCGAUUGAGUAAUCCGGUGAAUAAUUCGGACUGCAGCAGUGUCCAGUUCCUGGACGUUGCAGCGGAAAGUUUAGUGAACCUUAUCACUUAGAGGAAGGAGAAGUCGUAACA